rnacentral:rRNA from 1 species
GUUUGACCUCGGAUCAGGUAGGGUUACCCGCUGAAACUUAAGCAUAUCAAUAAG